rnacentral:rRNA from 1 species
CGGACGGGUGAGUAAUGUCUGGGAAACUGCCUGAUGGAGGGGGAUAACUACUGGAAACGGUAGCUAAUACCGCAUAACGUCGCAAGACCAAAGAGGGGGACCUUCGGGCCUCUUGCCAUCGGAUGUGCCCAGAUGGGAUUAGCUUGUUGGUGGGGUAACGGCUCACCAAGGCGACGAUCCCUAGCUGGUCUGAGAGGAUGACCAGCCACACUGGAACUGAGACACGGUCCAG